rnacentral:rRNA from 1 species
GCAGCUGAUCAGCCAUGCCGCGUGCAGUGAGAAGGCCUUCGGGUUGUAAAGCUCUUUUGUACGGGAAGAAAUCUCUCGGGCUAAUACCGUGGGGAGAUGACGGUACCGUAAGAAUAAGCACCGGCUAACUACGUGCCACCAGCCGCUAUAAUA